rnacentral:rRNA from 1 species
UAGGGAAUCUUCCGCAAUGGACGCAAGUCUGACGGAGCAACGCCGCGUGAGUGAAGAAGGAUUUCGGUUCGUAAAACUCUGUUGUUAGAGAAGAACAGCGCAUAGAGUAACUGUUAUGCGUGUGACGGUAUCUAACCAGAAAGCCACGGCUAACUACGUGCCAGCAGCCGCGGUAAUACGUAGGUGGCAAGCGUUGUCCGGAUUUAUUUGGCGUAAAGCGAGCGCAGGCGGUCAAUUAAGUCUGAUGUGAAAGCCCCCGGCUCAACCGGGGAGGGUCAGUGGAAAAGGGUUGACUUGAGUGCAGAAGAGGAGAGUGGAAUUCCAUGUGUAGCGGUGAAAUGCGUAGAUAUAUGGAGGAACACCAGUGGCGAAGGCGACUCUCUGGUAUGUAACUGACGCUGAGGCUCGAAAGCGUGGGUAGCAAACAGG